rnacentral:snoRNA from 1 species
GGUUCACUUAUAGGACCAAAACCAGGAGGAGCUCUUAACACUGUGACCAAAGAUUGAAGUUUUCUAUAAGAUGUAAUAGUCACUCAAUAGUGCUGUGUGUUCUUGAGCAGAUAUAAGA